ACGGAAGGCAGCAGUGGGGAAUAUUGGGCAAUGGGCGAAAGCCUGACCCAGCGACGCCGCGUGAAGGAAGAAGGCCCUCGGGUUGUAAACUUCAGUCAACAGGGAAGAAACAAAUGACGGUACCUGCGGAGGAAGCCACGGCUAACUACGUGCCAGCAGCCGCGGUAAUACGUAGGUGGCGAGCGUUAUCCGGAUUUACUGGGUGUAAAGGGUGUGUAGGCGGGUCUGCAAGUCAGAUGUGAAAACUAUGGGCUUAACUCAUAGCUUGCAUUUGAAACUGUGGAUCUUGAGUGUCGGAGGGGUAAAUGGAAUUCCCAGUGUAGCGGUGAAAUGCGUAGAUAUUGGGAGGAACACCAGUGGCGAAGGCGAUUUACUGGACGAUUACUGACGCUGAGACACGAAAGUGUGGGGAGCAAACAGGAUUAGAUACCCUGGUA
rnacentral:rRNA from 1 species